AAUCAACGCUGGCGGCGUGCCUAACACAUGCAAGUCGAACGCGAAAAGGGGCAACCCUGAGUAGAGUGGCGUCCGGGUGAGUAACACGUGGAUAAUCUACCUGCGGGUGGGGAAUAACUUUCCGAAAGGGAGCUAAUACCGCAUAAGACCAAAUGGGGCGAUCCCUGAAUGGUCAAAGAGGGGAGUCGCAAGACCUCUCGCCUGUAGAGGAGUCCGCGGCCGAUUAGCUAGUUGGUGAGGUAAAGGCUCACCAAGGCUGCGAUCGGUAGCCGGCCUGAGAGGGCGACCGGCCACACUGGCACUGAAACACGGGCCAGACUCCUACGGGAGGCAGCAGUGGGGUAAUUUUGCGCAAUGGGCGAAAGCCUGACGCAGCAACGCCGCGUGAAGGAU
rnacentral:rRNA from 1 species